rnacentral:rRNA from 1 species
UACGUAGGGGGCUAGCGUUGUCCGGAAUCAUUGGGCGUAAAGCGCGUGUAGGCGGUCCGGUAAGUCCGCUGUGAAAGUCGGGGGCUCAACCCUCGGAUGCCGGUGGAUACUGUCGGGCUUGAGUACGGAAGAGGCGAGUGGAAUUCCAGGUGUAGCGGUGAAAUGCGUAGAUAUCUGGAGGAACACCGGUGGCGAAGGCGGCAUCCUGGACCAACACUGACGCUGAGUGAGCGAAAGCCAGGGGAGCAAACGGG